GUAGCUGUGGAAAGCCUGCGCCCCAAGGAGGGACGCGGGGGUGCAGUCGCGGCCCAUUAUCUGUGCCCGGGAAGUCCUGAAGGCUCUAGGAGCUGUCAGAUUAAACCCCCAGACCCACAAGAAAAUCCCUGAAGCUUCGGUGAGCGUGGGAUUUGGCGUGCAGUUGGUUCCGUAUGGUUCCCCAUUAAGACUUGGAAGUCGGCUUACCAAGAUUUCCUCUUACCCUUCGGCUGUGUUGAGUAGAUAUUACACAGACACCCCGCCCAUGACUCUGCUCUUGCAGGAAAACAUUUAUUUCAAAAAUACUGCAACGGUUUCAUCUCUCAUGUCCUUUUAGGUUCUUUCUAGUAAUUGUGAACUUUUCCUCUCAAGUCAUUCCAUCAAAGUCUUGGAAGCAAAUGAAAAAAACAUACUACCCUGAAAUAGAGUUCACAUCUUUCUUUACCAACUUGCCUUUCCCAGGAAGACAUCGUGGUGGGUUUGCAGUUCAGGUUUCCUCACAGCCUCUCCUGGGGGUCUUUUUCCCUCUCUGGUACCUUGAGGCAUAGGACAGAAGGGAGCUGCUGAAGUUUCUGGAUGUCGCUUAUUUUUCACAUUUGUUUUAACUUCUUUUGGCCAGAACUGUGUAUUGUUUUCGCAUAGAUUUCUGCAAUUAGAAUUAUUGUAAUUAGAAAGAAUAAUAAUCUUCAUAUAAGGCUUAGGGUACGCACUACUUUAAGGUCUUUGUAAAUGUGUGCAUAUUCAUUUCUCUCAUCAACUCUGAGGUAGGGGCUAUUCUUACCCCAUUAUUGACCUUUUACAAAUGAGGAAACUGAUGCUUGGAGAAGUUAGAUAACUCGCCCAAGGCCAUUCCUUCUCUAAGAGGAGGAACUGGAAUUUGACCCCAAACUGUCAGGUAAAUCCAAUGCUUUGUUCACUAUGCAAUAGAAAUUCUUUAUUAAUAAAUUUAAUUGUGUUGAAAUAUUAAGUUUACAUUUUGGUGGGAUUUUCCCCCUCGUUUUAUUAAAGUGGCCUUCCUGAAUUUUAUUGUGGAGGGAUGUUUAAAGUUAGUUUGGGUAGAAAGCCACACACAAUUGUAAAAAGGAAGUCUUAUGAAGAAAUCAUGCAUUCCAAGGCAGUGUUACAUUUUUCUUAAAGGGUAGAUUAUUGAAAUAUUUGACCUAAGAACUCAUUUUUUUUCUCAGGAGAAAGGUUUGUCUUCAUACACCUUUAGCCCCGAGCAAAUGGUGAAUCCUCCAGGAGAAUGACGAUGAGGCUUUUUAGUCUUCAGGGUUCGAUAAAUAUAUAUCGAUUGAAAUGUAUUCAAAAAGUGAAUACCCUUGAAAGGACGAUGACAUAAUGCCAAAUGAAAAGGAAAUUUCCCAAAGAAACCUAAAUAAUGGAUAGAUUUGAUAGCAAGAUACUACUGGUUUUUUCCUUCUGGAACCUUCUUUUCUGCACUUGAAACCUUCCCUGUCCAGCCAAGACUGGGUUAGAAGCUCCUUUUGUGUGUUCGUGUGGCACCCAAGGUCUGCCCCUGUAGUGGUACUGACCACGGUGUAUUCUCGUGGCCUGUUCACCUGGCUGUGCUUCCCAGGAGAGUAAGUGCCUGGAAGAGCAGGCAUUCUGUCAGGCUCAACAGAGUGCAACAGCGUGUCCCCAGGGCUCAGGACAGUUGUUUGUCCUAGAGCUAUGGGAGUUAUUGAGCUAAGCAAUACUUGUUAAAAGCAUGAGCUUACACAAUUGAUCAGCCAUGUCUUGUUAGGAUGUACUGAAUUGGAAUUUAGCAGAAACUGGGAGAGCAAUGUCCCCGUCAGGAAAUGUCUGUUCAAUCUUGGUCUGUGUAUAUCCUACUUACCCACAUGUUAUUUUGCACAUAAUAGUUUUUUUGAUGUUUAUUAAGAACAAAAACAGCCUCUUUAAAAUUGUGUGUUCAGUUAGCUAACUGUAUUUCAGCAUCCAAUUAAUAAUCAGAGGUUUAAUAACUACAGCCUUAAUUCUGGCCUCACAAUGAUAGAAUGAUAAAAUCAUAGGUUUUUUUUUUUUUUUUUUUUUUUUGGCUGAAGGAGAUCUUAUAACUGCUCUGUCCAAUACACAACCACUGGCCACAUGGCUAUUUGAAUGAAUUAAAAUUAAUAAAAUUGACAAUUAAGUUCUUCAAUAGGGCAUUUUAAUUGCUCAGUAGCCACAUGUGACUACUUAAAUAAAAUUAAUUUUAUUAAUUCAUUCAAAAAUGGACAGCACUGACAGAUAGUUCCAUUAUUGUAGGAACUGUUAUUGGACAGGGCUGAUAAGUUACCGAAGGAAAAAAAACAGGUAAAAGAAGAUAUUUGAGAUAGCUUAGCAUUAGCAUUGUUACAUACAAAGAACAUUACACUCAUAUUCAAAGUGUCUGCUGUUAGGUUGGUGCAAAAGUAAUUGCGGUUUUUGCCAUUACUUUUAAUGAGGAAAUAUUUCGUAUAUGAUAAACAGUUUUCCUUAGCAGUUGUACCUAAAUUAAUGCACAUUUAAACAUAUUCAGGAGAAUGAAUGGUUCAAAAGGAUUCCUUUUUGCAUUCCUUUAAAGUGAAUACUCAUUCCAGUUGAUCCUUUGUGAGUUCUAUUUUUUUUUCUGUUUAAACAUACUGAAAUCAACUUGAGUCACUACACAAGUUUGACAUUCAUUAGAUUUGGCUGUGCUUUUUAAGCUCGCAUGAUUGAGAAACUAAAAUACUCAGUAAUGUUGGUAAAGGACAAAUGCCAGAUAGUUUUGGACAGACCAAAUAUAUAUUUAAUGACAUCACACAUGCAAUACAGACAGUUCUCAAUUUACAAACACUCUUGAGAAGCAGCCAUAGGUUAAAUAUAAAACAUACUGGGUGUACCUUCUUUAAAAUCCUCUUAAGAACAGUACCACCUGGAUAUCCAUUGUAUGAACAAAUUAGUAUUUAAAAAUAAUAAAAAUAAGUCUUAGAAUUAGAGAAUGUAUAGUUUUGAGCUGUGGAGGCAAUAAAGAGGCUGUGUAAAACUCAGGGGGAGUUAGUUGAGGUUAUUUCCACAGUAGAGCAGAUUUGCUUAAGUAACCCCCUGACAAAAAUAGCUUAGUUCCGCCUCCCCGCAGCAUGCCUGCCCCUCCCUGCUGUGUGCAUUUCCCCCAGUCCUUCAGUCGUUAAAAAUUUUCCCAUUUCAUUUAUACUCCAGUUUCAGUUCCGUUGAUUCAAAGUUUUGGGACUUAGGACAAGUUUGCUAGCUUCUCUGAGCCUCAGUUUUUUAAACCGUUAAAUAGGAAUAACAGCAUGCUGAGUGCCAAGAAUUAAAGAAAAAUUUAUGUGAAAAUAUAGAUUAGAAAGAAAACUAAUAUAAAUGCAGGGGAUUAUGAUCAUAAUACUCAUAAAACUUCAGUACUCCCUGGGAAGAUCCAAUGGCCGUCAGUCAUGUGCACGUGAUCAGAAUCUGGGCCAUCAUAUUUUUUUAAGCAAGUUGAUGGCCUGAGGGUUCUUGGCCAGGUGGGAGGAGGCUGCUCUGGGAUGUUGAAGAGAGAUUUUAAAAAGGAGAUGGAAGGCUGUGAAAACAUAGUUCAAAUUGGAGGGAGCUUGGGCAGAUACCACCUUUUCUUUUAAGGAAUGAAUGUAAUUGCUUGCAUUUUGUCUCUACUUCCUUCCUCUCAUUGAUUUAUUCCGAAGGCUAGAGUUUCUACUUUACAUUCUAAUUCAUCUGACAUAGCGUGUUUUUAAAAAACUUAGCAUUGCUUGCUUUGAUUUUCCAGUUGACUUUUGCUGAUGGAGCCUCUCUGAAGGGCAAAUUCAAAGUACAGCUGGGUGCUGCAGCACUGGAGUGCGAACUUGUGGCUGUGGUUAUGAAGGAGCCUCGUCAGCUAUGCCUUUAGCCCCUGGUGAAGCAGUGCCAGUCACACUUUGCCAGUCAAACGGAGAGGCAGCAGUAGUAAGACCAGACCAAAUCAAACCAAACCAAGCAAACCACGGGGAAUGGAGGUCAUGUGAGCACACAGCAUAAAGGCAGCUGCCCACAAGCCAGGAAGAGAAGCAUCAUCAGAAACCGACCAUACUGGCUUCCUGAUCUCAGACUUUCAGCCUCCAGAAUGGAUAUAUUUGGCAUUAAACUCGGGACAAAAGAAGACACAAACUUUAUCUUGUGGUUUGGGUCCUCCAAUCCUCAUAAAAGUGUGGUUUCACCUGUUACCUCAUAAAGGUGCCAUUGCU
rnacentral:lncRNA from 1 species